rnacentral:rRNA from 1 species
ACUCAAAUGAAUAGACGGGGGCCCGCACAAGCGGUGGAGCAUGUGGUUUAAUUCGAUGCAACGCGAAGAACCUUACCUACUCUUGACAUCCUACGAAUCUGGCUGAGAGGCUGGAGUGCCGCAAGGAGCGUAGAGACAGGUGCUGCAUGGCUGUCGUCAGCUCGUGUUGUGAGAUGUUGGGUUAAGUCCCGUAACGAGCGCAACCCUUAUCCUUAGUUACCAUCGAGUAAAGUCGGGAACUCUAAGGAGACUGCCGGUGAUGAAUCGGAGGAAGGUGGGGACGACGUCAAGUCAUCAUGGCCUUUAUGAGUAGGGCUACACACGUGCUACAAUGGGGCGUACAGAGGGUAGCCAACCCGCGAGGGGGAGCCAAUCCCGCAAAGCGUCUCGUAGUCCGGAUUGGAGUCUGCAACUCGACUCCAUGAAGUUGGAAUCGCUAGUAAUCGCGAAUCAGCAUUGUCGCGGUGAAUACGUUCCCGGGCCUUGUACACACCGCCCGU